AGUGUCUGUGGUGUCGGCGCUGCAGGAUGACGCGAGCCUCUCGCGUCCCUGGUUUUCUCGGUCGCAGCGUUGAGUUAUUGGGUGGAAAGGCAUCACCUUAGAGUCAACCUUCUUUGAAACCACUGUCUCAGAGAAAUCCCUCCAAGACACAGGUAAUUAGAGAGGGUAUGUGAACCAAGGAGCCAAUCAAAUUCUCCCACAUAAGAAUUUGGGACACAGAAGAUGAAGCUGAGGACCACAAGGAUUUAGAUACUGAUGCUGUAAGUUAUUCCUUUCUUUUUUUUAAAUUUAACACUUUCUAAAAAUUGACAGAUAAAAUUCUAUGUAUUUAUUAUGUACAACACGAUGACUUGAAGCACAUAUACCUUGUGGAAUGGUUAAACCUACCUAAUUAAUAUAUAUGUAUCAACUCACAUGGUUAUCAUUUUUGUGUUGAGAACACUUAACAUUGACUCUCUUAGCAUUCCUCAAGAGUGCAACAUAUUGCCAUUUAUUAUGGUCCCUAUGCUGUACAAUAGCCCUCUUGAAUUUAUUCUUCCGGCCUGAUUGUAAUUUUGUGUUCUUUGACCAAAAUCUCCCUAACAACCACUCCCACAAUCACUGCAGCCUCUGGUAACCACCAUUCUACUUUCUAUUUUUUGACAUUGACUUUUUAAGUUGCCUCAUUAUGAGUGAGAUCAUGUGGUGUAUUAGGCCAUUCUUGUGCUGCUAUAAAGAAAUAGCUGGUACUGGAUAAUUUAUAAAGAAAAUAGGUUUAAUUGGCUCAUGGUUCUGCAGGCUGUACAGGAAGCAUAAUUCUGGCAUAUGCUCAGCUUCUGGGAGGCCUCAGAAACUUGCAAUCAUGGCAGAAGGCAAAGGGAGAGUGAGACAUCUUACAUGGCAAAAGCAGGACUGAGAGAUGGGGAAGUGCUUCAUACUUUUUUAUUUUUUUUUUCAGACGGAGUCUCACUCUGUCACUGAGGCUGGAGUGCAGUGGCACAGUCUUGGCUCACUGCAACCUCCGCCUCCUGGGUUCAAGCAAUUCUCCUGCCUCAGCCUUCCAAAUAGCUGGGACUACAGGUGCGUGCCACCACACCCAGCUAAUUUUUGUAUUUUUAGUAGAGAUGGGAUUUCACUAUGUUAGCCAGGCUAGUCUCAAACUCCUGACCUCAUGAUCCACCUGCCUUGGUCACCCAAAGUGCUGGGAUUACAGGUGUGAGCCACCAUGCCUGGCUCACAGUUUUAAACAACCAGAUAUCAUGAGAACUCUAUCAUGUGAAUAGCACUAGGGGUAUAGGGCUAAAUAAUUCAUGAGAAACCACCCCCAUGAUUCAGUCACCUUCUACCUCCAGCAUUGGGGAUUAUAUUUUAACAUGAGAUCUGGGCAGGUACACACACCAAACCAUAUCAUUUCACCCUGCCGCUUCCCAAAUCUCAUGCCCCUCUCACAUUUCAAAAUACAAUCAUGCCUUCCCAACAAUGGCCCAAAGUCUUAACUCAGUCUAGCAUUAACUCGAAAGUCCACAGUCCAAAGUCUCCUUUGAGGCAAGACUAGUCCCUUCUGCCUAUGAGCCUGUAGAAUAAAAAACAAGCUAGUUUCUUUCAAGAUACAAUGGGGGUAAAGGCAUUGGGUAAAUGCUUUCAUUCCAAAUGUAAGAAAUUGGCCAAAACCAAGGGGCUACAGGCCCCAUGCAAGUCUGAAACUCAGCAGGGCAGGUAUUGGGUAAUUACUUCUAUUCCGAGGGAGAAAUCAGCCAAAGAAAGAGUCUAUAGGCCUGUGCAAGUCUGAAAGUCAGCAGGGGGUUGAGAGCUUAAAGUAAUUAAAUCUUAAAGCUCCAAAAUAAUGUAUUUCGACUCCUUGUCCCAUAUUCAGGGCAUGCUGGUACAAAAGGUGGGCUCCCGAAGCCUUGGGAAGCUCUGUCCCUGUGGCUUUGCAGGGUUCACCCACUCUGGCUGCUCUCAUGGGCUGGCAUUGAAUGUCUGUGGCUUUUCCAGAUGCAUGAUCCAAGCUGUUGGUGGAGCUACAAUUCUGGGGUCUGAAGGAUGGUGGUCCUCUUCUCAUAGCUCCACUAGGCAGUGCCCCAUUGGGGAUUCUGUGUGGGGGCUCCAACCCCACAUUUUCCUUCUGCAUUGUCCUAGUAAAGGGUCUCCGUGAGGGCUCUGCCCCUGCAGCUGGCUUCUGCCUGGACAUUCAGGCUAUUCCAUACGUUUUCUAAAAUCUAGGCAGAGGCUCCCAAGCCUCAACUCUUGGACUCUGUGCACCUACAGGUUUAACACCAUGUGGAAGCUACCAAGGUUUACAGCUUGCGCUCUCUGAAGCAAUAGCCUGAGGUGUACCUGAGCCCCUUUGAGCUACAGCUGGAGCUGGAGUGGCUACGAUGUAGGGAACAGUUUCCUGAGGCUGCAUGGGGCAGAGGGGCCCUGGGCCUGGCCCAAUAAACCAUUCUUCCCUCCUAGACAUCUGGGCCUGUGAUGGGAGGGGCUGUCAUGAGGGUCUCUGAAAUGCCUUUGAGGUCUUUCUCCCAUUGUCUUGGCUAUCAGCACUUGCCUUCCUUUUAGUUAUGCAAAUUUCUGCAGGCUGCUUCAAUUCCUCCCCUGAAAAUGGGCUUUUCUUUUGUACUACAUGGCAAAGCUGCAAAUUUUCCAAACUUUUACACUUUGCUUCCCUUUUAGAUAUAAGUUUCAGUUUUAGGUCAUUUCUUUGCUCAUGCAUAGAAGCAUAGGUUGUUAGAGGUAGCCAGGUCACAUCUUGAAUGUUUUGCUGCUUAGAAAUUUCUUCUGCCAGAUACACUAAAUCAUCCCUUUUAAGUUCUAAGUUCCACACAUCGCUAGAGCAGGGCACAAUACAGCCAGAUUCUUUGCUAAAGCAUAGCGGAAGUGACCUUUACUGAAGUUUGUGAACCCUGAAAAUCUGAGACAGUUAAUUUAGAAAGUUGAUUUUGCCAAGGUUGAGGACACAUGCUCAUGACGCAGCCUCAGGAGGUCCUGAUGACAUGUGCCCAAGGUGGUUAGAGCACAGUUUGGCUUUACAUUUAUGGAGACAUGAGACAUCAAUCAACAUAUGUAAGAUGAACAGUGGUUCCGUCUGAAAAGAUGGGAAAACUCGAAGCAAAGAUGGUAAGACUUUAAGCAGGGAGGGGGCUUCCAGGUCAUAGGCAGAUAAGAGACAAGUGGUUGCAUUCUUUUGAGUUUCUGAUUAGCCUCCCCAAAGGAUGCAAUUAGAAAUGUAUUUAUCUCAGUGAGCAGAGGGGUGACUUUGAAUAGAAUGGGAGGCAGUCCUAAGCAGUUCCCAGCUUGACUUUUCCCUUUAGCUUAGUAAGGUCCUAAUUUCUAUCUGAGACCUCCUCAGUCUGGAAUUCCUUGUCCAUAUCACUAUCAGCAUUUGGGUCAUAACAACUUAUCAAGUCUCUAGGAAGUUCCAAACUUUCCCUUGUCUUCCUGUCUUCUUCUGAGCUCUCCAAACUCUUCCAACCUGCCCAUUACCCAGUUUCAAAGUCAUUUCCACAUUAUCAGGUAUCUUUAUAGCAAUGCCUCACUCUUGAAUACCAAUUUUCUGUAUUUACUGCUAUAAGGAAAUAUCUGAGACUGGGUGAUUUAUAAAGAAAAGAAGUUUAAUUGGCUCAGGAUUCCACAGGCUAUACAGGAAGCAUAAUUCUGGCAUCUGCUCAGAUUCUGGGGAGGCCUCAGGAAAUGUGCAAUUAUAGCAGAAGGCAAAGGGGGAGUGAGGCAUCUUACAUGGCAGGAGCAGGACCAAGAAUGGGAGGGAGGUGCUACACACUUUUAAACAACUGGAUCUCAUGAGAACUCUGUUACGAGAACAGCAUCAGGGGGAUGAUGUAAACCAUUCAUGAGAAACUGCCCCCAUGAUUCAAGCACCUUCCACAAGGCCCCACAAUCAGCACUGGGGAUUACAUUUCAACAUAAGAUUGGGGUGGGGACAGAAAUUCAAAUUGUAUCAUGUGGUAUUUGUCUUUCUGCACCUGUUUUAUUUCACUUUGCAUAAUGUCCUCUAGGUUUAUCCGUGUUGUAUUAAAUGACAGAAUUUUAUUCUUAUUUUAUGGCUGCAUAGUAUUUCAUUGUGUAUAUAUACCACUUUAAAAAAUUCUAUUCAUCUGUUUAUGGAUACUUAAAUUGAUUCCAUAUCUCAGCUAUGUUGCUUGCAGUAAACACGAGAGUGCAGAUAGCUCUUUGACAUACUGAUUUCAUUUUCUUUGGCUAUAUACCCAGUAGUGGGAUUGCUCGAUCAUAUAAUAGUUUCAUUUUUUUAUUUUUUGAGGAAACUCCAUAUUGUUUCCUAUAAUGGUUGUAUUAAUUUGCAUUCCCACCAACAGUGUGCAAGAAUUUCCUUUUCUUCACAUCUUUGCCAACUUUUGUUAUCUUUUGUCUUUUCGAUAAUAGUCAUUCUAACAGAAGUGAGAUGAUACCUCCUUGUGGUUUUGCAUGUGCUGUGAGAUAAGAGUCUAAUUUCCUUCUUUGCAUGAGGAUGUCCAUUUUUCCCAAUACAAUUUAUUGAAGAGACUGUCCUUUCCCCACUGUGUGUAGUUUGUCAAAAAUAAGUUGGCUGCAAAUGAGCAGAUUUAUUUCUGGGCUAUUUUGUUCCAUUGGCAUAUAUAUCUGUUUUUAUGUUAGUACCACGGCUGUUGGGUUACUAGAGCUUUGUAAUAUAUCUUGAAGUCAGGUACUGUGAUGCCUCUAGCUUUGGUCUUUUUGCUUAAGAUGAUUUUGGCUAAUCAGGUCUUUUUUUGUUCCACACAAAUUUUAGAAUGUUUUUUCUCUUUAUGUAAAGAAUGCCAUUGCUAUUUUGAUAAGGAUUGCAUUGAAUAUAUUUGGGUAGUGUGGACAUUGUAACAAUAUUAGUUAUUUCAGUCCAUGAAUACAAGUACCU
rnacentral:lncRNA from 1 species